ensembl:lncRNA
UACAAGAACAAGAAAAACAAUUUUAUUGGAAAUAUUCUAACACGUUUUCUGAACAAAUAAUCAAAAAAUAAAUAAGGACAUAAAAAGAUAGGAACAUAUGAAAUUUUGACCUUGAAAACAAAUAGUGUACCUUCAUUUCAAGUUUCAUGGACAGUGACAAACUGCAAUAAAUAUUAAACUACAGAGAAUAUUUUGGUAAAUUUUGAAAAAUAGAAAUUCUAGAAGUCAGUCUCAGAUCAAAAUGCAGUACAACUAACAGUAAUAUAAAACACACCACUCAGAAACUGAAAACCAUAAAUAACAUCUCAAAUUACCCUUAGGACAAGAAGUAAAUCAAGGAUAAAAAGCAAACUAUUUGGGGAUAAUGAUAAUCAUAAUAAAAGGAUACAGUCAAAUCUACCUACAGAGGCAAAAUUAAUAGCAUUCAAUGCUUUUAGUGUCAAAAAAAGAGAAAAAAACGAAUGAACUAAGCAUGCAAGUUGAGAUCUCUGAAAAGAGUAUAAAAUACUCCCCUACUCCCCAAAUGGGAAAUAUUUAAAAUAGAAAACAGAAAAAAAAGAACGCCCAGAAGCCUAAGAGGAGGAGAGAUGUACCUUCUGGCCUGUGGAGAGGGAAGCGCCUUGGUGCUCCACAUGAACUUGGUCCUCUGACCUGUGCCCUUGAACAUCCCCCUUCUCGCUCCGCCUGACAUGCUCGUCCACUCCCAAGGCCUCAGCUCCCUUCAGCCCCUUGUCUGUGUCAGCACCGCAGCUCCUAGCGUUGUGCCUCUCUGGUGGCAUCUACAUGUGCCCUACAAUAAAGUCUCUCCACCUGAGACCCCCUUUCUAGCAGAUGUGAGACCUUCGGAACAGGAGCAUGUCCUCCUCAUCGUCAUAUCCUCAGGGCCUGGGAUGUCGUGGGUCCUUGGCUGAAUGGACGCGUGAGCAGGGGGCUCAAGCACGGAUUCCCGAGUUGCAUUUGGUCCCAAGCUGCUUCUGCUCCCCGCGCUGCCCCGUCACAGGCCCCAAGACUAUGUCAUGAGGCCUAGAAUGAAUCAUUCCCAUGGUCAGAGGACUAACAAAGGAGGAUCUGCAUGCUGAGAUGUUUAGGCAACCAAUAAUGACUGUACUGACAAUGUCAAUAAAACAUGAGGAUGUGGGACUUUGAUUUUUUUUUCUUAUUUCCUCUUUUUCACUGCAUAAUCCUCUAUCCUCAAGGCCCGAUUCAAACACCAUCUUCCCCAGGCGGACCUUUCCUGACUUCUCCAACCAGAAACAAUCUUGCCUUUUCUGGGCUUCCAGGGCACCUGCCCCUCCCUCUGGUCUCUUGAAAUGUCCGCCUUUGGCUGUCUGUGUCUCCAUCCAAAUGGGCAGCCGACACCAUCUAAGCAGAACUGCAGGUCCUCCACACAGCACCACCCCUGGCAAGUGGAUGACCAUUUCACAGCUUAGAAAGCGCUUCCACACCGUAACCUCCCUUUCAUCCUCACAACUGCCCUGUGAGGUAGAUACAGCAGAU